UCCUUCUCUCGUUGUUUCCCCUUUCCCUUAUAUAGUCGUCCUGAUGUUUCGUCCUUGACCUAAUUUACGCCAUCUUGGUGGGCCUCCUCUGCUGGGCCGAAAAGCCCGUAAGCGUCCGAGCAGCCGCUGAGCCGAAUAUACUUCAGUCGACGAUGAUCGACUAAAAGUACUCAAGAGUCAAGCCGAGAGACCUGACUCUUGAGCCGACCGAUUGACCCGUCGCUCUACCUAGUCUGGGCCAGGCCUUUCUAUUCUUCGGGCCUUGUGGGGUGGUCAAAUCCAUCCUCUACAACUUCUUCCAUUGAAACUAGUAAAACAGUAUUCUGGCAGGUCUCCAGUGACUGUGUGGACUUGAUAUUUUUCUUUAUACUAUAAGGACCUGUUGCUCGACCAUUGGUGUUAAUGGUUGUUUCUCUGAUCUAAAGCUCUGGUGAUGUGAAGUUGUGCUGUCCCUUGGGUUUUAAACAAUGCUUUUUCUGGAUUUUUUGGUAAGAGCAUGUAGAGCUUUAGCUCAGUCACGUUCAGGUCUUUGAGCAGUUGAUCGCGGACCGUCUUCUUCGUCGGCUGCUCAGGUUAAAGAUACGUCGUCUUGUGGCUUCCUUAGAAGAAGUAUGUUCUUAAGAGGCGUUGGCCCGUGGUUAUCUGUUCGGAACCUAUCUUGGAGUCUUAUCUCAUCUCAAAUAAUUUGGACUUGCUUCGCUUUCAUGUUCAUUCUGGCGUCCGUCAUCAAUCGGCUCUACAUCUAUAUCGGUUGUUCGUGAGUUCCAUGAGAUCUAAGUGACCACUUCCUUUCUUUGUUUAUGUCUAGCUAGUUUUUUUUCUUUGUUGAUUCCAUCUUUGGCUCAGAGAGGAUUUGUUUACUUCGUCGGCUUUUGGCUCCGAAAAGAUUACAUAUCUUUGCCGGCUU